GAUGAAGAACGCAGCGAAACGCGAUAUGUAUUGUGAAUUGCAGAAUUCAGUGAAUCAUCGAAUCUUUGAACGCACAUGGCGCCUUCCAGUAUCCUGGGAGGCAUGCCUGUCCGAGCGUCGUUUCAACCCUCGAGCCCCCGUGGCCCGGCGUUGGGGAUCUGCCCAGGCAGUCCCCGAAAACCAGUGGCGGACCCGUUACAGGCCCUUCCCUUGCGUAGUAGCAUUCGCCUCGCAUCGGGAGCCGGCGGGCUUCCAGCCUCUAAACCCCCAUCAAGUCCGCCCCGGCGGCACCAAGGUUGACCUCGGAUCAGGUAGGAAUACCCGCUGAACUUAAGCAUAUCAAUAAGCGGAGGA
rnacentral:misc_RNA from 1 species